rnacentral:rRNA from 1 species
UUCCGGUUGAUCCUGCCGGACCCGACUGCUAUCAGAGUGGGACUAAGCCAUGCGAGUCAACGUAGAAAUACGUGGCAAACGGCUCAGUAACACGUAGUCAACAUGCCCAGGGGACGUGGAUAACCUCGGGAAACUGAGGAUAAACCGCGAUAGGCCAUGAUUUCUGGAAUGGUUCAUGGCUGAAAUCUAUAUGGCCCCUGGAUUGGACUGCGGCCGAUCAGGCUGUUGGUGAGGUAAUGGCCCACCAAACCUGUAACCGGUACGGGCUCUGAGAGGAGGAGCCCGGAGAUGGGCACUGAGACAAGGGCCCAGGCCCUAUGGGGCGCAGCAGGCGCGAAAUCUCUGCAAUAGGCGAAAGCUUGACAGGGUUACUCUGAGUGAUUCCCGCUAAGGGGAUCUUUUGGCACCUUUAAAAAUGGUGCAGAAUAAGGGGUGGGCAAGUCUGGUGUCAGCCGCCGCGGUAAUACCAGCACCCCGAGUGGUCGGGACGAUUAUUGGGCCUAAAGCAUCCGUAGCCGGUCUUGCAAGUCUUCCGUUAAAUCCACCUGCUCAACAGAUGGGCUGCGGAAGAUACUAUGGAGCUAGGAGGCGGGAGAGGCAAGCGGUACUCGAUGGGUAGGGGUAAAAUCCGUUGAUCCAUUGAAGACCACCAGUGGCGAAGGCGGCUUGCCAGAACGCGCUCGACGGUGAGGGAUGAAAGCUGGGGGAGCAAACCGGAUUAGAUACCCGGGUAGUCCCAGCUGUAAACGGUGCAGACUCGGUGAUGGGUUGGCCUCGAGCCAACCCAGCGCCGCAGGGAAGCCGUUAAGUCUGCCGCCUGGGGAGUACGGUCGCAAGACUGAAACUUAAAGGAAUUGGCGGGGGAGCAC